GGCCUGUUUGAGCAGGCAUUGCAAAUCUUAAAAACAAUAAGAUGAAUAAUCAUCACUGUUUGAUCACUGCCAUUUAUUGAGUACCUUCUCCAUGGCAGAUGCUAAGAUAAGACCUAACAUGCAUCAUCUCUGAUUUUACAAGUCUUCGAGGUUGCAGCCAUGAAAAUGCCCUGGUCAGCCAUGAUUGACCAUGACAGGGGUACUAGUGCAGGCCUGUUCCUGCUGGACAUGGAACCCCUCUAAUGGCUUAAGGACUCCCACUGGCUGGCAGAAACUUUCUUAGAACAACACUGUAGUCUAAGACUCUUCCUACUGAAUUCUCUUUCCUUCUCCCUCUCCUUUCAUGGGGGUCAGGCCUGCACUGCAGUCUGGGGCUUCCUCUGCCUACUUCAGUUCCUUCCUGAACAUUUUACAGGUGUUUCCCCCAAUAAUUCUCUUAUAUGCCUAAUCCCAUCUUGGUGCCUGCAUCUCGAAGGAACUAACACAGUGGACAGGAGUCCCAUUUUGCAGACAGACACUGGAUCAAUGAUGAAGUUACUUGUGUAAGUCCUACAGCCAACAAAUGUUAAGAGCUGGGGUUGUGUGCAGGUAUGUUUGAUUCCACAAGCCAAGUCUUAGAAGCAUACUAGGCUUCCUCUCUAAUGAUCUAUGCAGGCUUAACUGUGAGGACAGGGAGUGAUGACACAUUUCAGUUUGGCCCCUUUGUUUUGUCGAUGAGAAACCUGAGACCAGUGAGGGAAAGGAUUCGCCCAUGGGUGCCAGUGGGAGGGGUGCACCUGGGCUGUGCACAGCCAUUUCCCUCCUUUGGAGGCUGAGGGAGGAGGUCACAGGGAGGCCUCAGGGUAUGGAGGGAGGUCAGGCUGGGGGGCUUAGUGUCUGACCCACCAGCCUGGCAGGCGGGAAUGUGCCUGUAGAAGCCCACGGCCCUCUUGGGGAGAAGCCAUGAAGUGAGGACUGAGUGCUGCCUGGAGGUGCUGGCUGGGAUGCACAGGGAAGAGCUGUCAGGGUAUGGGUCUAACACUGGAACAGCUGGGGGACAUUCCCUGGAUAUCCCUGCAUUGCCUUGAGGCUCUCCCAUCCCUGUUUGAUCCGUAAGCUCCAAGGAGACAUGUUUCCCAGCCAUAAUGCCUUCUGAUCCCAAUCUCUUCUACUCUUUUCAUUGGCAAGAGUCAUUCUCACCCGGGUUUUCUUAUAUAAUAAUUAUAAACUCAUUCAGGGCCUGUGAGUGAAAAGGCACACAUAUACAUUCAGGUCUAAUAUUCACUGAGCAACCAUCAGCACAAUGGUAUGUGACCUCUUUGAAUGCUGCACUAAUGCUCCACUGUCUAGAAGGAGGCCAGACUGCUCUGGGGACCAGGUGCAGAGGGUGCCCUCAAGUGUCUAGUGUCAGAGAGAGAGGGGCUACUCCACUUUGGCCAGGGUGAACUUGAGUUGGUGAUGACAAACAUCUGCAGCUAGUCUAUUUUUCUAAUCUCACCCUCCAAACAGCCCCAUCUUCUUGCAGGGAGGAUGGGUGAAGGCAUUUUCAAAAAUGGACAUCACAUGUGACAAACAGGCAAAGGACCCUGACAGAGCCACAAAACUGACACGCUCAUGAAAACUCAGACCGCUGACAAUGGUGAGCGCCGACCAAUUCAGCGCCAGGCGUGGAGGCUUCUGGCAAGAGUGGUGGGCUCUGUGCGUCCUGAUGGUGGCAGCAGAGACCAGCUUGGGAGCCACCUGGCUCCUCUGCCCUAGCCCAUUAUGGCCUGAAUCCAAUCAAUUUCAGUUCUCAGCACUUCUGAAAACGUGCGUGGCUUAGAGUGUCUGGCAGGGCUCAGGAGAGAAAAGCAUUUCUCAGCCCCGGGACACAUAUAUGCCUCCAGGCACUGGUUGUGGCUUGCAAUCUGGGAGGGCAGGUGAACGGACACCCUCCCUCCUUGCACAGGCCUGGGAUCUGCCUUACUCAACUCCCACUUCUACCAGGAGCAGAGGAUCACCGCUGCCCAGCACCCCGCCCAUCUGAAUUCUGACUCUGGUGGCUUCAGAGAAGCAAGGUAGGGGCCAGUGCUGGUAUGAAAUGCCAGAUGAGAGGAAACUGAUGCAUGCACUUUACUCCUGACUCAGAGUGCCUGAAAUAUCUGGCAAACUGGCAAAGGAUGAAACCCUUCUUUGAGGUCUGUAGAGUAGCUUUAAGAUAAAUGAAGCCACUGAGAAGGUCCAAAACAAGGGGCCCUUAGACGUGGAAGAGGUCUGCUUUCCUGAUAACUAGAGUGGUGCUGGGCUAUGAAAACAGUCCAAAUAGAUGAGGAUAGUUCCUGAGAGCACAGGGUUCUGAAGCUGGACAAAUAUUCUUCCACCUUAAUGGCCCUCUCACUGGAGCCUUCACAGGGUUAACGAUGGUCCCGCAGGAGUUGGGGCCAUGACUGAGGACAUGGAGCUGAUGUGGAGGCAGUCAGGGCCAAGGCAAGAGCCUCCUUGUGUAUAGUGGAAACGCAAGACAGACAUCAAAGGGAGUGGGGUGUGCGGUUCCCAAGGGGCUACCAGAGUCCACUUUUAUUAAAAGUUUGUGUCUUUCUUUAGAAAGUAAUAUGUUCCAUCUCCAGCACCUGAAGGCUCCUUUCAGGGUGCCAGAAGAAUCCUCAAGGGACAGUCCCAGGCUGUGUCCUUCCUCCUGUCUUGGCUGACAUUUUUAUGCAUGGUUUAGGCAGCCCAUGGGCUUUCCAGCUUUGCAAUAAGAUCUGAUCUAAUUUCAAGCUUAUACAUAACAGAAGGGCUGGGGGAGAAGUAGGAGUUCUUUUAGAAUUGCAAAAUCCAGGUGGGUGUAGCCUGUGGGGUGCAGGCUAUCCAGCUCAAAGAGGGAGGCCCAUAUCUCAGAUUCCCUAAUGCUCGGCACAGUGUCUGGCACACAAUGGGCACACAGGAAAUCCUGCACUGAAUCAAACAGAUUUUGUAUUACCAGAUCUAGGCUGACUCACUGUGUGGUCAGGACCUUGGGUCAAUCACUUCACCUGGUGACUCACUCCCUACCUGUAAGGUGUGGAGGACAGCUGGAGUCACUGUGGCACCUGUGUGUUUAGCAGUGUGUUUGCUUGUUCCUGCUUUUAUGUCUCUGGCUGGUCUAAGAUGGAAUGAUAAAAAAAUAACGGAAUGCACUUUGUAAACGAGAGCAUCCUAGACACAUGUAAAGAUUGGAAAAUUAGAAAGCUGUCUCUACUGUAGUUACUUCUCAGAUAUGACCAACCAUUAUUAAGAAUUCAUUGGCUAAUAGGGCUACAUUUUCUCAUGAUCAUUCUUCUGUUUUAGAAGUGGGCAACUGCAGUUUUAAGAAUAAAUGUGUAAAUGUGUGUUUUCAUGAGAGACAAUAAAGCUGUUUUCAUUAAGAAUGAAAUAUGCAACUUGCAAACACUUUUACUUUUCUUGAAUUGGGUCCUUCAGCAGAAGCAGUUUGCCCAGCCCUGACAUGGAAAGUUUACUUUGCUCAUCAACCUGAAGGAGACCGAAAGCUAUGAGAGGCGGCUCCUGAAAAGAAUCUAGACUCCGGAUAUAAAAAGAUCUUGCAACACAAGGCCAAGUGGAAAUCAUGGUUCGCAUUAAAGGCAUAAACCUCCUGCACUAACAACCCAGAGCAGGAGGAAAAGCUGGGAGACCUGGCUCAGCAGCCUUCCCUGAGGGAAGCCUUCGGGGCUUUGUUCCUCUUGAGAUCAGGGCAAGCCUAUGUAUGACCUGAAGCCAAUACAACCAGCAGAGCUGAUGCCAGUGCUGGCUGCCUGAGUGCUACUAAAGAAAGAGUCCACCAUCGGCUCCCUCUUCCGUAGCCAGACACAGGUGGAAUGCUGUGCUUCCUUUUGGGAGACAAAGCAGAAGCUACCCCAGAGGGGGCAGAUGGGAGACAGGCCCAGGCAAUGCAGCCCUACAAAGAAGACUUGAAGGGCCGGGGCUGAGCAGCUUGGAUGAAGAGAAGGCUGCCUUUCAGAGCUGUUUCAAAUGUUUCAGACGUUGCUAGACAAACUAGAGUUGUAUGGCUUCAGAUGGCACAGCUUAGGGCCAUAGAGUGGGAAUCACAAGAAGGCAAACUUUAGGCCCCCAGGAGAGCUGGACAACAACCUGGAGGGUCAGAGGAGAAUGGGCUGUCCAAGGAGCGGGGAUAUGAGGGUGGGGCAGUGUGGCCAUCCCUGGAAGGGGUAAGGGAGUGGCAGAUGGUAACCAUUUGGGGUGGGGUGUGGCUGAGGAUUCCUGCAAGGCUAUCAGAGAAACUCUAAGAAUCAUAAGAAUCAAAGCUCAAGUACAUGAGGGAAGACAUAAUGAAAUCCCUAAAGUUCUGAGAGGUUGUACCAGAUUCUUUAUGGAGAAUACAGAGAGAAUGCCUCCUGACUCCUCAUUCACAGAGUGCCAGGCAGCAGCAAGGAGAAGCUGGUGGCCUUGGGAGGGCAAAAACUAAGGACAAGGUCCACAAUGCAAUCAGCUCACAUCACCUACGAACAAAUAAAGUGGGGUGGGGGUGGAGAGUUGCUAGAGUUUACGUAACUCUCAAGCCUUAAUUUAGCUGCAAGAACUAGGUUUUUGCCAAAGCUAUAGAACUUCCCACCAGAUGAAAGCUUUAUCUCUUUUUCUUUCUUAGGAGAAGAGAGACAGAAGGAGAGAAGAGGGGCAGGAGGAGAGAAAACACAAGAAAGAGGAUGGAAGAUAAAGAGGAAGGCCAGAGUGAGGCAGGAGAAAGCUGAGCUGGAACCUAACUCCUGUUGAUCUGCUGCAGAGACCCUCUCAUUCCACAAUUGCUCCCGCCAUGAUUUUGCAUCGGGUUGAUGUAGUGGAUGCUGUAGUCCACUACCCAGAUUCCUUCCCCAACCCACAACAAUGAGGUUCUCAUUCCGGAGCUGCUAGGAGGGAUGCCAGAUAAUAGCACACAGCUGAACUUCUCUUCAGCUAUUGCCCUCAGAUUAAGAAAGCUGCCUUGCUCAAGGUUACACGCCUUUCCUGGGAAACCAGUAUCCAAUGACUGGUUCCUGUAAAAGGAAUGGAGCUGCCUUAAAAGAGCUGCCUUGCUUCAAUUUGGGAAGACUAUGAAGAGCCAUCCCAGCUCUGGAGUUCUCCGUAGGGUUGGCUUGUGUAUUUGCAGGCAUCUUUGCUCAUAACAAUGAUAUCAUCUUCAUGCACAGCGAAUUAUGUUGCGGAACUUUUGGGCCUGCAGCAAAGUUUCUGUUACAGCAUUUCCUGGAAGUAUCCUUGGGUCUGUGACCCUCAUCUCCCCACAGCAGGAAGGGCAAGCAUCACAUCAUCAGUAUUGAAAGGUGCAUCAGGUUUACUGGCAAUAGCACUAAUAAUGCUAAUUAUAGAAGUGAUAGUGAGGUGGGGGGGUGGUGAUAGGAAUGGUCAAAUACAUAUCAUUUAUUUGGUCCUACUUUUUCCAGGUGUUAAGCAGUUUUCUACUAUGCCAGGUUAUAUUUUCCAAACAUGACUGUACCAAAAUAUCUCAUCCCAUAGGUUCUUACAAUGUGAUGUUGCUAUUUACUGAGAAGUGGUGUCUGCAUUCCCUCCUCUUUCAUAUGGCCAGGUUUUUGAGACUAUGCAGAAGUUAUUCCAUGAGUUCCAAGCCCAGGUCAUGAAAGAUAACUUGUAAUAAAUCUGGCUACCCUGAAGCUGCCAUGCUUGAGAGACCACACGAGAUGGAGAGAGAUGCUUAGGAGUCCCAGCUGUCCAAGCCUCCAGCUAUGUGAAUCUUCCCAGCAGCAACUGCCAGACAUGUGGUACACCCAAAAUGACUUUGGGGCUACACUUGGAAUUGGCAAGGUUCCAGAAAACAGAGGGACUAUCAUCAGAGACAGCGCACAAAAAGUGGGAGAAAGGUCACCAGCCUCACUCAUGUUUAGGGCUAUUAUGAAUAAAGCUGCUAUGAACACUUGUUUACAAGUUCUUUGUGAGGACACAUGUUUUCAUUUAUCUUGGGAAAAUACCUAGAGAUGGAACUCUGGGACACAUGGUAAUAAAGUAUAUUGGCAUAAUGCAAGAGUCAAGAUGCAGAAAAUAACUACUGUGUGAUGUCUCUCUCCCAGCUUUAACCCGCCUGAAGGGCAGCACUGAGUUCAACACACUGUCCCACAAUUGUUGCACUCUCACACUGAAGUGAACAGAUUCUUUCUCCGUGCCGUGCAGCUCCCGGCAGAGGAUGAGGGAAGGGUACCAUCGGUGAUUCAGCACUGUGUUUCCUAUCCUCUUCAAUGACUCUUUCAGCGAUAUGAAGGUAAAACCAGUUAGGUGAAUGGAGCACAUGGCUAUGCUUUGUUUUAAAUGAAAGUCUUUGUCAUCCAGCGGAGGACUUUAAUUCAUUUACAUUUAUUGACAUAAAUGUUGACUUGAAAGCGUGUGUCAGAUCCCUUCACUAUAUCUUCAGACCUGCCCCAAGGAGUGAGGAAGGGCAACACCAAGAACUUCUCUCCAAGGACCAUAACCUGCGAACCCCAUCUCACCUCCUCCUGCCAGAUGGACACAGUCAUUGUCCUCCUGGCUGAUCCCAUGUCCAUGUCUUGCUCUGGCUACUUUCAUACACCCAUAAUGACAUUUUCCAUCUACUCAAUUUUUUAAAAGCUCAGCUCGAACCUCACGGAUUUUCCUGACAAUCUGCUUCUCUCAAUGGCCUUAAUUUAAGUGAGGGUUGUCAGUCUUACUGGGUCUCGUUUUUUGUCUUAAAUAAUAACUAUUUAUGGGUAUCAAGUGUCUCCUCAAUUUGGCUAUGAUCCUUCACGGCAGAAAUACUGUCUUAUCUUGUGAUCAUGGAGUCACAAGAUUUCAUGGCUAGGAAUAUUCGUCAAAUUAAUCCUAGAUUGAGGAUCAGGUAGUAUGUGGUCUGAUUCUAACUCAACAACUUGCAGAAACUCACUUCUUUUUUCUUUUUUUUUCCCCAGGAGGAGCUAUCGUAUUAACUGACGAAACUCACUUCAUUUCUUUGGACCUGCAAAAUGAGGAUGGGCUCUAAACCACCUCUAAAGUUAAUAUUCUAUGAUUCCAUGAUAAGGCUAUUUGUCAUUUAUAAAAAAAGGAACUUCCACAUAGCCCAGAGAAAGGAAAUGACUUUUUCAAGUUUACAGAGUCAAUUAAUGGACGAAAUGUAAUUUGAAAUUCAAUCUCCUGAUCCCCAGUCUAUUGGGAGUUCUUUCAGAAUGUCCCUUGACUGUCCCUCAAAGUGCCAGCAUGUAUGAAACCUUGUUAAGGAUGUAUGCUCAAUGAAAAUACACAAAUUGACUUAACAAGAAACUAAACUCUCCAGAAAGAUGCAGUUGACCCAAAACUCUGAAUAUCUUUUAUGUUUAAAACUUUCUUUUUUGAACAAAAUUGUACAGUUACUUCUCUAUUUCAACUCUUAAGCCUUUUAUGCCACGUCAAAGGUUAGCUCUCUUUUCUCUCUGUUAAUAAAGUCUUAUUCUUGACUUUGGAACUGUA
rnacentral:lncRNA from 1 species